rnacentral:rRNA from 1 species
GAUGAACGCUGGCGGCGUGCCUAAUACAUGCAAGUCGAGCGAAUGGAUUAAGAGCUUGCUCUUAUGAAGUUAGCGGCGGACGGGUGAGUAACACGUGGGUAACCUGCCCAUAAGACUGGGAUAACUCCGGGAAACCGGGGCUAAUACCGGAUAACAUUUUGAACCGCAUGGUUCGAAAUUGAAAGGCGGCUUCGGCUGUCACUUAUGGAUGGACCCGCGUCGCAUUAGCUAGUUGGUGAGGUAACGGCUCACCAAGGCAACGAUGCGUAGCCGACAUAGGAGGGUGAUCGGCCACACUGGGACUGAGACACGGCCCAGACUCCUACGGGAGGCAGCAGUAGGGAAUCUUCCGCAAUGGACGAAAGUCUGACGGAGCAACGCCGCGUGGGUGAUGAGGGCUUUCGGGUCGUAAAACUCUGUUGUUAGGGAAGAACAAAUGCUAGUUGAAUAAGCUGGCACCUUGACGGUACCUAACCAGAAAGCCACGGCUAACUACGUGCCAGCCGCCGCAGUAA